rnacentral:rRNA from 1 species
UACGGGGGGUGCGAGCGUUGUUCGGAAUCAUUGGGCGUAAAGAGCGCGCAGGCGGCUUGGUGAGUCAGAUGUGAAAGCCCUGGGCUUAACCCAGGAAGUGCAUUUGAUACUGCCUCGCUAGAGUACGGGAGAGGAAAGUGGAAUUCCUGGUGUAGAGGUGAAAUUCGUAGAUAUCAGGAGGAACACCGGUGGCGAAGGCGACUUUCUGGCCCGAUACUGACGCUCAGGCGCGAAAGCGUGGGGAGCAAACAGGAUUAGAUACC